UACGAACCGUGCGAUCGUUGUUCGGAAUCGCUGGGCAUAAAGGGCGCGUAGGCGGGCCGUAAAGUCAGGGGUGAAAUCCUCCAGCUUAACUGGAGAACUGCCUUUGAUACUGACGGUCUCGAGUGAGGUAGGGGCGUGCGGAACUGAUGGUGGAGCGGUGAAAUGUGUUGAUAUCAUCAGGAACUCCGGUGGCGAAAGCGGCACGCUGGACCUUUACUGACGCUGAUGCGCGAAAGCCAGGGGAGCGAACGGG
rnacentral:rRNA from 1 species